CCUAAUGAAGCUGUUUCUCGAAGUAUGCAAGCUCACGCUUCAUGUGCUAGGGAAAUUUGGGUUAACCAUGUCUAUUGUCAAGAUUGAUAUAGAAGGCAGUAUCAUAUUUAUGGCAACACAUUGGUGAUGUUCUUGAGCAGAGGCCGGAGACAGAAUAUGCAUAUUAAAAAGUAGGAGCAGCUGCAUGGCAUGGUGAAAGUAGAAGUUAGCACAAAGACUGACGAAAGUUCUAGCAGUUGUAACAACGAUCUUCUCUAGCUGACAAGCGACGGUAGCCAAAUGCGGGGGGGCUCGAGUUCCUGGAUGUUGUGAAGCUCCUGGAAUCUGAGGGUGACCACUGGAUGCCUGCGCCCGCCGCCGACUCCGCAUGUCGAUGCCGUCCCGCACGAUGUUGCCUCCACACGUCAUUUGCUCCGGCCGUCGCCGGCAUCGCACGCCAUCCAGGGUCUCCCCAUCCUCCACCAGCACCUCGCUUCUCUGACCUGACUAGCUGCGGGCGUGCAUGUCUCUCUCCCAUGUUGUGUGACCGCAUCACCAUGUCAUUCAAAAUCAAGAUCGAUUUCUUUCUCCAAUGGAAAAGCUAUCCAGGACAUCAGCAGUUUUACUAUUGCCUUUGACAGUGAAGUUCAGAACUUCAGAUCAGUCUAAGGCACAGUCGUGUCUGAAUCCAAUUGAUCUUCCAUCGUAUGGCACCUGAUCAAGAUUAAUGAAUGAGAUGGUGCUUUCUACGGUCCAAAAAUUGAUAUUGGUGUGUUUGAUGCCCUCAAGAGGAAAUUUCAAUGUGCAACCCUACAGCUGGAUUUUCAGCUCCCCCUUCGCUUCAAGCUGACUUACUCUGCCGAGGAUGAAGCCAAACUUGAAAGACCUGUGAUGAUACACAGAGCAAUCUUAGGAUCCGUUGAAAGGAUGUUUGCCAUUCUUUUUGAGCAUUACAAUGGUAAAUGGCCCUUGUGGCUAAGCCCUCGCCAGGUCAUUGUUUGCUCAGUAUCUUUUGGUUCAGCGGAAUAUGGAAAACAGGUCCUUGCCAGGCUACAUGAAGCUGAUUUUCAUGUUGACAUUGACAUUAGUGACAGAACAAUCCAAAAGAAGGUACUUCCCAGCAGCAACAGAAGCCCAGGGCAGGACGGGACAGCCCAGCCCAGCCCAGCCCACCUUGUUGAGGCUCAGGAGGAGGCCCACCCACCUUGUUUGCUUGCUGUUGCUGCAGUCCGUCCAUCAGCUUAUUAAUCAUCAGAAUCAGAGGUGCUUACUGGAUAAUCGAUUGUCAUCUGUGAGGUCUGAAAAUCA